GUUGUAUUAAUAUGUUUAAAUCAGUUCGUGUGAAAUACCAACCGUCAACGUCAAUUUUUGUCCGAUGUUUUCGAGUUUAUUGUGAAUAAAUCGCGCUCAAUUGCCCUUGCGCGUGUAGUUCUCCCCCCUGGAAAGAGCCUGAGACUAGUCACUUCAACAUAUUUUACAUAAAGUUCCUCGGAAACAAAAUGGCGGAUUUCGAAUUUUGAGGAGUGCCAAUUGUUGAAAUUCAAAUGCAAAUUUCUAAAAAACUGCAGGUUUCUAGCAGUGCCAACAAGAAGAAAUGUCAAAGGUGAGUAAAAAUUUAUAUAUUCUGAGUUUUUGGCGUAGUCUCCGAAGGUGUCCAACGAAACUGAACGAUAAUCGGCUUGGGAAUACGGACUAAGACAAAAGGAGCAUUCUGAACUUGAAGACAAUCCCCAUCUGCU